ACCGGCGAUUUCCGAAUGGGGAAACCCAGUGUGUUUCGACACACUAUCAUUAACUGAAUCCAUAGGUUAAUGAGGCGAACCGGGGGAACUGAAACAUCUAAGUACCCCGAGGAAAAGAAAUCAACCGAGAUUCCCCCAGUAGCGGCGAGCGAACGGGGAGCAGCCCAGAGCCUGAAUCAGUGUGUGUGUUAGUGGAAGCGUCUGGAAAGGCGCGCGAUACAGGGUGACAGCCCCGUACACAAAAAUGCACAUGCUGUGAGCUCGAUGAGUAGGGCGGGACACGUGGUAUCCUGUCUGAAUAUGGGGGGACCAUCCUCCAAGGCUAAAUACUCCUGACUGACCGAUAGUGAACCAGUACCGUGAGGGAAAGGCGAAAAGAACCCCGGCGAGGGGAGUGAAAAAGAACCUGAAACCGUGUACGUACAAGCAGUGGGAGCACGCUUAGGCGUGUGACUGCGUACCUUUUGUAUAAUGGGUCAGCGACUUAUAUUCUGUAGCAAGGUUAACCGAAUAGGGGAGCCGAAGGGAAACCGAGUCUUAACUGGGCGUUAAGUUGCAGGGUAUAGACCCGAAACCCGGUGAUCUAGCCAUGGGCAGGUUGAAGGUUGGGUAACACUAACUGGAGGACCGAACCGACUAAUGUUGAAAAAUUAGCGGAUGACUUGUGGCUGGGGGUGAAAGGCCAAUCAAACCGGGAGAUAGCUGGUUCUCCCCGAAAGCUAUUUAGGUAGCGCCUCGUGAAUUCAUCUCCGGGGGUAGAGCACUGUUUCGGCAAGGGGGUCAUCCCGACUUACCAACCCGAUGCAAACUGCGAAUACCGGAGAAUGUUAUCACGGGAGACACACGGCGGGUGCUAACGUCCGUCGUGAAGAGGGAAACAACCCAGACCGCCAGCUAAGGUCCCAAAGUCAUGGUUAAGUGGGAAACGAUGUGGGAAGGCCCAGACAGCCAGGAUGUUGGCUUAGAAGCAGCCAUCAUUUAAAGAAAGCGUAAUAGCUCACUGGUCGAGUCGGCCUGCGCGGAAGAUGUAACGGGGCUAAACCAUGCACCGAAGCUGCGGCAGCGACGCUUAUGCGUUGUUGGGUAGGGGAGCGUUCUGUAAGCCUGUGAAGGUGUGCUGUGAGGCAUGCUGGAGGUAUCAGAAGUGCGAAUGCUGACAUAAGUAACGAUAAAGCGGGUGAAAAGCCCGCUCGCCGGAAGACCAAGGGUUCCUGUCCAACGUUAAUCGGGGCAGGGUGAGUCGACCCCUAAGGCGAGGCCGAAAGGCGUAGUCGAUGGGAAACAGGUUAAUAUUCCUGUACUUGGUGUUACUGCGAAGGGGGGACGGAGAAGGCUAUGUUGACCGGGCGACGGUUGUCCCGGUUUAAGCGUGUAGGCUGGUUUUCCAGGCAAAUCCGGAAAAUCAAGGCUGAGGCGUGAUGACGAGGCACUACGGUGCUGAAGCAACAAAUGCCCUGCUUCCAGGAAAAGCCUCUAAGCAUCAGGUAACAUCAAAUCGUACCCCAAACCGACACAGGUGGUCAGGUAGAGAAUACCAAGGCGCUUGAGAGAACUCGGGUGAAGGAACUAGGCAAAAUGGUGCCGUAACUUCGGGAGAAGGCACGCUGAUAUGUAGGUGAAGCGACUUGCUCGUGGAGCUGAAAUCAGUCGAAGAUACCAGCUGGCUGCAACUGUUUAUUAAAAACACAGCACUGUGCAAACACGAAAGUGGACGUAUACGGUGUGACGCCUGCCCGGUGCCGGAAGGUUAAUUGAUGGGGUCAGCGCAAGCGAAGCUCUUGAUCGAAGCCCCGGUAAACGGCGGCCGUAACUAUAACGGUCCUAAGGUAGCGAAAUUCCUUGUCGGGUAAGUUCCGACCUGCACGAAUGGCGUAAUGAUGGCCAGGCUGUCUCCACCCGAGACUCAGUGAAAUUGAACUCGCUGUGAAGAUGCAGUGUACCCGCGGCAAGACGGAAAGACCCCGUGAACCUUUACUAUAGCUUGACACUGAACAUUGAGCCUUGAUGUGUAGGAUAGGUGGGAGGCUUUGAAGUGUGGACGCCAGUCUGCAUGGAGCCGACCUUGAAAUACCACCCUUUAAUGUUUGAUGUUCUAACGUUGACCCGUAAUCCGGGUUGCGGACAGUGUCUGGUGGGUAGUUUGACUGGGGCGGUCUCCUCCUAAAGAGUAACGGAGGAGCACGAAGGUUGGCUAAUCCUGGUCGGACAUCAGGAGGUUAGUGCAAUGGCAUAAGCCAGCUUGACUGCGAGCGUGACGGCGCGAGCAGGUGCGAAAGCAGGUCAUAGUGAUCCGGUGGUUCUGAAUGGAAGGGCCAUCGCUCAACGGAUAAAAGGUACUCCGGGGAUAACAGGCUGAUACCGCCCAAGAGUUCAUAUCGACGGCGGUGUUUGGCACCUCGAUGUCGGCUCAUCACAUCCUGGGGCUGAAGUAGGUCCCAAGGGUAUGGCUGUUCGCCAUUUAAAGUGGUACGCGAGCUGGGUUUAGAACGUCGUGAGACAGUUCGGUCCCUAUCUGCCGUGGGCGCUGGAGAACUGAGGGGGGCUGCUCCUAGUACGAGAGGACCGGAGUGGACGCAUCACUGGUGUUCGGGUUGUCAUGCCAAUGGCACUGCCCGGUAGCUAAAUGCGGAAGAGAUAAGUGCUGAAAGCAUCUAAGCACGAAACUUGCC
rnacentral:rRNA from 1 species